UAAUAAGUGUUUUGUGGCACUUUUUAAAUCCAUAUCCACCUUGUGUGCAAUGACAGUCGAUCUUCUUCAUGGAGAUCGACCAAACAUCAACCUUUAUCUUUUAACUCUUUGUCUGAAAAAUAUUAUGAAUAAACAAUUCAAAAUA
rnacentral:misc_RNA from 1 species